GUCUAGGGCCAUGCUACCCUGAACAAGCCCAACCCUGUCUGAUCUCGGAAGCUAAGCAGGGUCAGGCCUAGUCAGUACCUACUUAGUACUUGGAUGGGAGACCACCUAGGAAGACCAGGUGCUGUAAGCA
ensembl:rRNA 5S_rRNA 5S ribosomal RNA